CCUACGGGUGGCAGCAGUGGGGAAUUUUGGACAAUGGGGGCAACCCUGAUCCAGCCAUUCCGCGUGAGUGAAGAAGGCCUUCGGGUUGUAAAGCUCUUUUGUCCGGAGCGAAACGGGCGGCCCUAAUACGGUCGUCUACUGACGGUACCGGAAGAAUAAGCACCGGCUAACUACGUGCCAGCAGCCGCGGUAAUCCGUAGGGUGCGAGCGUUAGUCGGAAGUACGCAGGGGAAUUCGUAAGCCAGAUGUGAAAUCCCCGGGCUCAACCUGGGAACGGCAUUUGGGACUGCAAGGCUGGAGUGUGGCAGAGGGGACUAGAAUUCCUGGUGUAGCAGUGAAAUGCGUAGAUAUCAGGAGGAAUACCGAUGGCGAAGGCAGGUCCCUGGGUUAACACUGACGCUCAUGCACGAAAGCGUGGGGAGCAAACAGGAUUAGAUACCCGAGUAGUC
rnacentral:rRNA from 1 species